GGUUGCUCUAACUAUCUUGAUACUAUUUAAUUUCAAGUGGCUACUUAAUCAAUAUGUUCAUAAAAUGUAAAUGGACAAACACUUCUGAGAAUUUGUCAUAUAAUGUUUAAGUAUCCCUAUAUUAAGCAAAGUUGGUUUGUUUAAAAAGAAAAGAAAAAAAAAGAUAAUUAAAUGUAUAGAUAAAUAACUUUAUCUUGCAAAUUGGCGACUCCAUUUUAGCCUCCUCUCAGUCAUUGCUACAAACUCUAUGCUUUCCACUUUGUCACUUGGCAGUCAGCAUACAGAAAGCAUCCGUAAAGAAAGGAGAAAUAAGACAAUGUUCAUAUUUCUCCUCCUCACUUGCAAUGUCUGUCCUGCAUUUGCAUUGUCUGAAUCGGAUUAUGUAGUCAUUUGCUAAAUCUUUAGUAUAACUUUUUAAAAGAAAAUGUAACAUCUCAAGAAAAAAAAAAAAUUCAGCCCAACUUAUAGGUUAUUUUCAAUAGUUUUGUUUUCAGUAAAAUCCAGAUAAGUGACACUUCCCAUUUAAGCCACUCCAAAGUAGCAUCUUACUUUGGAAAUUAUUAGUAUAUUAACACAAUUGUACAAUUUCAAACCAAAAUGAACAUAUCAGAUUAUGAAAACAUUUUUAAACAUUUCAACAACUUUUAACACAUUUUAUUUUAUCAGCUAAAACAUAUGUUUUCAUAAUGUGAUAUGUUCUGCAAGUUUAAAUCAGUUAAUAUUUUAUUUAUGUGUGGAAGACUUCUCAAAAAUGUUUUUGAUGCAGACCUCAUAUAUUGUAUUGUUAACAUAGCAGAGCUUGGUAUUAUUUUUUACUUGACUUUUCCAUAUUGUACUUCGAUAAAGUGUUCUUGAGUUAUACACAAAACUAUUUUCCAUAAAAUUAGAGACAUUUCAUAGAUUAAUUUGACGUAACAUCAUUCAAGUAAGCAACCACUAAAAGGUUCACUUAAAGAAAUUAGUAACGGUUU